rnacentral:rRNA from 1 species
UACGUAGGUGGCGAGCGUUGUCCGGAAUUACUGGGCGUAAAGGGCGCGUAGGCGGUCUACUAAGUCAGAUGUGAAACCCCUAGGCUCAACCUGGGGCUUGCAUAUGAAACUGGUAGGCUAGAGUGUCGGAGAGGGAAGCGGAAUUCCUAGUGUAGCGGUGAAAUGCGUAGAUAUUAGGAGGAACACCAGUGGCGAAGGCGGCUUUCUGGACGAUAACUGACGCUGAGGCGCGAAAGCGUGGGGAGCAAACAGG